AAGGGACAGGGCAGCUCCUUCCGUGGGGAGAUGCCCCUAUGGAGGAGAUGCUCCUAAAUUCAGCAUUAGAGGAAAGGUGGCCAGCUGGCACCUGUGCCAACCCCCAACCCCUCCUGGCACGUGAGCCCAGUCGGAGCUUCACCAGGUGAGGAUGGUGCAAGACCUACCACCCUGGGGUGCGGGGCGGCAGAGAGGGUGAAUUAGGAUCUAGGUAAGGAGCACUGGGUGACCAUAUCAGGUGCAGAGCUCCCCAACAUAGUCAAGGAUCCUAGCAGAGGGGCUUGUGCUCAGAAGGCCCAAGUCUUGGUCACGACCCUUCCUUCAGGCUCAGUUUCCCCAUCUGUAAAUAGGGUGUCUCCCAAAGGCAGCAGGAGUUUCACAGAUGUUCUUCUCCCUCUUCCGUAGAGUGGGACUCACCUCUGCUCCCCCUCCCCCCGGGGGUCAGGAACCGCUUCCACGCUCCCAUUGGACGAGAGGCGGCAGAGGCGGGACCGAGGCGCGGUGGUACCACCCGUUAGGACCAAUCACCACCCCCACAGUCGGGACAAAGUCACAUAACGGAAAGGUCUCGGCCGGGCAGCGGACGCCCCGCCCCUCCCAGCUUCCCAGCCUCCCAGCCGUGCUGCGCAAGCUCGGUCUCUAGGGCAACCAGUUGGGACUCUAGCCGACCUGGAGGGCUGGCGGGGCAGGAGGAGACCCGGGACGGGGCCAGGCUUCUUCCUUCUCAGGGUGGCUAGCCAGAGUCCGAGCUCGGAGGGAUGAAGGGAAGGGAAAGUGCCUUCCCAGAGGGUAUCUCCGCCUGGUCCGGUCUGGACAAGGGUCCGAGCCACGGCUUCCCCGCUAGACUGACAGUGGGGGCAGUGUCUUCUCCCCCAGCCUCUGGGCCUGACAGCCGGACAGCAGCCCCAGCCUCCCGCGUUCUCCUGCUGCCCUUAGGCUGGAGCCUGGCUCAAGCAUCCGAGCCCCCCUGACCUUCCUUUAGGGACUGGCUGCCCUUUCCACUCGGAUGUGCCCCUCGACCCAAAGUCACCCAGAUAACCACCCUGCCUUUGUCCCGGGGUCCCAGCUCCAUGAGUGGGGACUAUUCCCCUCUCUCCGCAAGCCUCGGUUAACCACCCUGACCCCUGGGUUGGAAGCCUUCACGUGCCCCCGUUGCCCUUCCAACGCACGAGGAAACCCCGCUUGCUGCCUCUGGCCCACCCACCGCAGGCGCCCAAACCCUCCAGCAGCGGCCGCAGCCCUCCAGGAAGACCUCGCUCCCCUCCUCCCGCCCCCCCUUGUGGCCCCACUUUCCCGGCUUUCUUAGCUCCGCUCUCCACUCCGGCUGAGGUUCCAAACUUCCUGUAUCCGGCGUGUGUUGUGGCAUCAGAGCCCGGGAGCAGAAGGGCAGCACCCCGAGUCCCUGCACUCCCUGCUCCCCGCGCUGCAGCCCCGGAGCUCCUUGGGCCCCCUCUCCUGCCCCUGAGGGAGCCCAGCGCCCUGAGCCCCAGCAACCUCCUCUCCCCGAGCUGCAGCCCUCGGGGUUCCUCCGGCCGCCUUUCCCUGCCCCUGGGGAAGCUCAGCGCCCCGAGCCUCUGCACCCUCUGCUCACCUCACUGCAGUCCUGGAACUCCUCAGGCCCCCCUUCCUUGCCCCUUUGGGGAUCGCAGUGCCCCGAACCUCCGCCUCAUUGCCCUGUCCCCCAGCCCCCGGAGGAGCUCGGCGCCCCGAGCUUCUGUCUUGCUAGCUUCGGGAACCCCGGGCUCACCGUGGCAUCCUGGCCGGCGUAGUGACUGAUAACCCGCGAGCCUCCUGGGUGCCUCUGACUAAACUCGCUGAUGUCGUAGACCUUGCGGUCAAUCACUAGCCAGCGCUCGGGGCGCCCCGAGCGCUGCGCCACCUCGUCCCAAGUGAAGAGUCGCGGCGGGGCCCCCGCGGACACAGAGUGUGGGGCCAUGGUCCUGGAGGCGGCGGCGGCAGGAGCAGCGGCAGUGACGGCGGCGCGCGCUGGCGCGGUCCGGAGGGGAGCGCGCGGAAGCCGUUUUCAGCACCAGGGGCGGCGGACGGCGGACGGCGGCGAAGCUCGGGGGCCCGCGCUCCCAUUGGCUGAGCCGCGUGGCGCGGGCGGGAGAGGGUGCCUCCUCCCCCCGCCCCCCGAGAUUGCCCGGGCGCGCGCCAGACCCCCUCCUCCACCUUCCCUCCGGCGACGCGCUGUAGGGCAGUCUCUAGCUAACCCAGAAGGAGCUCUGGCCAGGUCCCAGCCCUGACUCUCCAGCCGUAGCUGGGGUACGGCUGGGGAAACUGAGGCCUCCAGCCUGUCAGCGAGCUCCAGCACGUUCCCUUGCCGGUUGCUUUCCUCAGAUAAUCCAGCGGGUCCCCAGUUCAACUAAACUACACCGAUCUGGGUGCUCCUGGGCGCAGGCACCGAGGCAUGCUUGGCUGGGAAAAGAUAGUGCCCGGCCCACAGUAGGCCCAGAAGAAACGCUUGUCCAUUGAGGGAUGCUUUUUCCCUAUGAAAUUUCGCAUAAGUUCUCCAAAGUUAUAAGCUCCAAAUUGUCUCCCUUCCUCUCCCCUCCCGGAGCUGGCCGGCAAUUGAUCGGGGUUAGAGCUGGGGUAUCCAUCGCACGAAACCUGUCCCUAGUCAUCUUUGUGAGAGAAUGAGCCAAACCCGAAGACACUAAAGGGGGCAAUCGCAGCCGACCCAGCAGGCCUUUCUCUGGAGCUGGAGAGACGCGUUCUUCGCCCCAAGCCCCUCGAGGGUAGCCAGGUCUUCGCCCUUCCCCAAUGCGGCAGUCACUGCUCUAACGUUCGGCCGGCUCAGCUUAUUCCCCUCUGCAUCAGUUCGGGUAGCUCUUUCCAUCUCUUUCUGGAGUCUACCCCGAGGCGGGGAGGGAUGGGAACAAAAAGGGCCCCAAACCUUAAGGGCCAGAGCUCUACACGAUCUGCCAAGCGCCUACUAUGUGCUGAGAGCUGGGCAAACACGGAAGAGCAAAAGCCCAUCCCAGUGGGAGAAAACGGGAAAAGAAGGAAACGAGUCAAAAUCUAGCGAAAUUCAGGUAGAAAACAUGGGAGGUCCGGGCAGAAGGAAGGCCCUGGAGGGGGCGGGGGUGGCCCCAGCUCCCUGCACAAAGGGCCGCUUUCAGAUGAGUCCUGAUGGAAAUCCGGGAAGCCGGGAGAUGAAGGUGAAGCUGCCCCUGCCCUUCUGAGAGGCCAAAGGGAGGAGACUCCAGAGACAUGCCACCAAAGCAGAAACCCAAGCCGGGGGCCAGAUGGCAGCCCUCGGGCUCAAAUACACCCCAAUGGGCAAGGGGGAGAGUUAGGGGGAAAUCUGAGCAGGAUGGGCUUUAGGGGGGGAGGAGGGGGGGGAGGAAGAAAGGCAGUCUAUGGAGGACCACAGAGAGACCUUAGGAUGGGAGCUCUCCAGCUGGGGGCCAUGAACUUGUUUUUGGUAAAUACAGUUGGCGGCCUCUAUAAUUAGAUGAGCUUCACUUUAUGCAUCUUCAAAGGAUUAUUCCAAGAAGGGGUCCAGUGGAAAGAAGGAAGAAAAAAAGGGAGGAGAGAAGAGAGGAAGGAAGGAGGAAGAAGAGAAGGAAGGAAAAUCAAGAAGCCCUAGUUUAGAGAGAAGACUUGGCUUCGAAUUCUAGAUCCACUAAAAUGCAGUUCUCGUUGUACAGAUGGGCACCCUUGGAAAGUACAUUUCAACUCCCUGGGCCUCAGUUUUCUUUUUCUUUCAAUUUUUAAAAAUCUUUAUUUUAAUUAAAAAAAAAACCCUCUUACCUUCUAUCUUAGAAUCAAUACAGUGUAUUGCUUCCAAGGCAGAACAGUAAGGGCUGGGCAAUGAAGUGACUUACCCAGGGUCACACAGCUAGGAAGUAUCUGAGGCCAGAUUUGAACCUAAGACCUCUCUCUCCAGGCCUGGCUCUCAAUCCACUAAGCCACCUAUUUGUUCCAUGGGCCUCAGUUUUCUUAUCUGAAAAAUGGAUGCAUUUGACUAGAUGGCUGUACAUAUUCCUUCAGAAAUAGCAUAGGUGACUAGGAAGAUCAGGAGAGGAGAGAUAGAAUGUGGCUCUUUUCCCCUCAAUAGGACUUUUUGACUCCCCAAAAGCCAUUGAGACAAAUUCUUUCAAAGCUGGAAAGGCCCAUACAAGAUAAUCUUUUCUGGGAGGUCCUGGGUUCAAACCUGACCUCAGGCCCUUCCUAGCUGAGUGACCCUGGGCAAGUCACUUGACUCCCAUGGCCUAGCCCUGACCACUCUUCUGCCUUGGAGCCAAUACACAGUAUUGAUUCUAAGAAGGAAGGUAAGGGUUUAAAAAAAGAGAUGGAGAGAUAUUCUUUUCCAAGAAGAAAAAUAUUCUGAUACAGGAUGACCUGCCUAGUGUCACCCACUCCAUCCCAUGACUCUCUGCUUCAAAACAAAACAAGAAACUAGGUCUCCAAAGGAUUAUCAAAGGAGUUAGGCUAAUAACCUCUUUCAAAACCCUGAUCUGAGAGUAGGUGUGCCUGUGCCUUGUCCUGGGUGCUCCUUGCCCAAAUGCCGUGUCCUCCUGAGCUGCCCUCUAAAGAGAGUGAGAAGUCUUCUCCUGCCCUUCUGACCCUUCCUGCUUUGCAAUGUUUUUUUGUGACAAGUUCCCGAGUCCUUGGGAGCACCCAGCCCUCUAAGGCCACCGAUGAAGGCUUUUGUUCUGGCCCAGAUGCCUGGUCUAGGAUUCUGGUUGUCCCAUUCCCACCACGUUGACGGCUGAUGCCAGAUCCCCCUGGUUUCUUGUUCAUGAAGGCGAAAGACCAGAAAAAUUCCCCUCCCCACUUUUCCACCUCUGGGCACCAUCUUGAAAGGUUCCAUGCAUUUGUCCUGGCUGUGCCCCAUGCCUGGAGUGCCAUCUCCUCAUCUCAAUCCUCUGCUUUCCAUGGCUUCCUUUAAGUCCCAGCUAAAAUCCCACUGUCUAGGGGAAGUUUUCCAAUCCCCCUUCCUCCGUUGGUUGUCUCCACCUUCUCCUAGGUGCACCCUCCCUGGAGAUCUUUUUUCGUGCAUAACCAUUUGCAUGUUGUUUCUCCUAUUAAACUCUGAGUUCCUUGGG